AGAGUUUGAUCCUGGCUCAGAUUGAACGCUAGCGGGAUGCUUUACACAUGCAAGUCGAACGGCAGCGCGAGAGAGCUUGCUCUCUUGGCGGCGAGUGGCGGACGGGUGAGUAAUAUAUCGGAACGUGCCCAGUAGCGGGGGAUAACUACUCGAAAGAGUGGCUAAUACCGCAUACGCCCUACGGGGGAAAGGGGGGGAUCGCAAGACCUCUCACUAUUGGAGCGGCCGAUAUCGGAUUAGCUAGUUGGUGGGGUAAAGGCUCACCAAGGCAACGAUCCGUAGCUGGUUUGAGAGGACGACCAGCCACACUGGGACUGAGACACGGCCCAGACUCCUACGGGAGGCAGC
rnacentral:rRNA from 1 species